GAUGAACGCUAGCUACAGGCUUAACACAUGCAAGUCGAGGGGCAGCGGUAUCGAAAGCUUGCUUUCGGUAGCCGGCGACCGGCGCACGGGUGAGUAACGCGUAUCGAACCUGCCUCAUACUCGGGAAUAGCCUUGCGAAAGUAAGAUUAAUGCCCGGUGUUUUCAGAGUCCCGCAUGAGGCUUUGAACAAAGAUUUAUCGGUAUGAGAUGGCGAUGCGUCCCAUUAGCUUGUUGGCGGGGUAACGGCCCACCAAGGCAUCGAUGGGUAGGGGUUCUGAGAGGAAGGGCCCCCACAUGGGAACCGGGACACGGUCCAAACACCUACGGGAGGCAGCAGUGAGGAAGAUUGGUCAAUGGGCGGAAGCCUGAACCAGCCAAGUAGCGUGCAGGAAGACGGCCCUCCGGGUUGUAAACUGCUUUUAGUUGGGAAUAAAACGGGGCUCGUGAGCCCCCUUGCAUGUACCAUCAGAAAAAGGACCGGCUAAUUCCGUG
rnacentral:rRNA from 1 species